UACGUAGGGGGCAAGCGUUGUCCGGAAUCAUUGGGCGUAAAGAGCGUGUAGGCGGCCCGGUAAGUCCGCUGUAAAAGUCAAAGGCUCAACCUUUGAAUGUCAGUGGAUACUGCCGGACUAGAGUACGGAAGAGGAGAGUGGAAUUCCUGGUGUAGCGGUGAAAUGCGCAGAUAUCAGGAGGAACACCAACGGCGAAGGCAGCUCUCUGGGACGUUACUGACGCUGAGACGCGAAAGCGUGGGGAGCAAACAGG
rnacentral:rRNA from 1 species